rnacentral:rRNA from 1 species
GACGAACGCUGGCGGCGUGCUUAACACAUGCAAGUCGAACGGUGACCCAGGGCUUGCCCUGGUGAUCAGUGGCGAACGGGUGAGUAACACGUGGGCAACCUGCCCCUGACUUCGGGAUAACUCCUCGAAAGAGGAGCUAAUACCGGAUACGACCACUUCGGACAUCCGAUGGUGGUGGAAAGUUUUUCGGUCAGGGAUGGGCCCGCGGCCUAUCAGCUAGUUGGUGGGGUAAUGGCCUACCAAGGCGACGACGGGUAGCCGGCCUGAGAGGGCGACCGGCCACACUGGGACUGAGACACGGCCCAGACUCCUACGGGAGGCAGCAGUGGGGAAUAUUGCGCAAUGGGCGAAAGCCUGACGCAGCGACGCCGCGUGAGGGAUGAAGGCCUUCGGGUUGUAAACCGUCUUUCAGCAGGGACGAAGCGAAAGUGACGGUACCUGCAGAAGAAGCACCGGCUAACUACGUGCCAGCAGCCGCGGU